UACGGAGGGUGCGAGCGUUGUUCGGAAUUACUGGGCGUAAGCGCGCGCAGGCGGUUCAUUAAGUCUUCUGUUUAAUGCAUGGGCUCAACCCGUGUUCGCAGGGGAAACUGGUGGACUGGAGUGCAGGAGAGGAAAGUGGAAUUCCACGUGUAGCGGUGAAAUGCGUAGAGAUGUGGAGGAACACCAGUGGCGAAGGCGACUUUCUGGCCUGUAACUGACGCUGAGGCGCGAAAGCGUGGGGAGCAAACAGG
rnacentral:rRNA from 1 species